rnacentral:lncRNA from 1 species
CAACAUCCUCCGGGAUUUUAUUUUAUUUUUCUAUCUUCCUUCCCUUCUAUAAAUGAUCCUGGAAUUUUACCUGCCCUCAUGAAAUGAGCCGCCCUCAGCAGCUUCUUCCAUCCUGCCGUCCUACGCCAGAGAAGAAAAGACCCAGCACCAGGAAAUAAAGAGUGCCCAAAUCUUCACCCCUGGGAGCACUGUGGCAGAUGUGGUGCUGGAGCUGAGAGUGCUGCUUCUUACAGGGAACAAGAAGUCAAUUGAAAGUCACCCUGAGGCAAGCAUGAGCAAAAGAGACCUCCACACAGCUGCUUCUUGCCAUGGCAGUUGGCUUUCCCCAAAAUGGAACUCUGGAUGCUGCCUCACCACUGCUGUUGCUGUCAUGGUUAAUCUGCUGUAUCUUCUUCAUGUUACCAGCUCAGCCUACACAUGAUAAAGGCAACAGGAAGUAAACUAUGACACUGAACAUAGUAGACCUCAAAGCCCAUCCUGACAGUGACAUACUUCCUCCAACAAGGCCACACCUCCUAAUAGUGUCAUUCCC